rnacentral:rRNA from 1 species
CUGGUUGAUCCUGCCAGUAGUCAUAUGCUUGUCUCAAAGAUUAAGCCAUGCAUGUCCAGGUAUAAAUAGUAUACACCGAAACUGGGAAUGGCUCAUUAAAACCGUUAUAGUUUAUUUGAUAAUCAUAAGCUACAUGGAUAACCGUGGUAAUUCUGGAGCUAAUACAUGCAGUCAAACCCGACCUUCGGAAGGGUUGUAUUUAUUAUAUAUCAAGCCAAUACUCCUUCGGGUUUAUUGUGGUGAAUCAUAGUAACUGAUCGAAGCCCUCAGGGCUAAAUCAUUCAAGUUUCUGCCCUAUCAACUUUCAAUGGUAGUGUAUUGGACUACCAUGGCAGUCACGGGUAACGGGGAAUUACGGUUCGAUUCCGGACAGGGAGCCUGACAAACGGCUACCACUUCUAAAGAAGGCAGCAGGCGCGUAAAUUACCCAAUCCCAAUUCGGGGAGGUAGUGACAGGAAAUAACAACCUGGGGGGCUUUGCCCUUACGGGAUUGUAAUGGGAACAAUGAAAAAACUUUAUCAAGGAACAAUUGGAGGGCAAGUCUGGUAAUCGACCCUGCCCGUGAAAUGAACACAAUUUAAAACGCUUUCGCGAGGAACAGUUGGAGGGCAAGUCUGGU